UAUACGCAGUCAGUACCAUAUGAUUGCACAAAAUCCCAAACAGCCCAUUUAUGACCAAGAGGCCAGACAGAAUAAUCGAAUAAGUAAAGCCUAUUUAUUUAUUUUUUAUUUUUUUUGGAGGGACAUAAUCGAAUUUGAACCAAAAUUUCAAAACAAAAUGGAAAUAAAGUGAAGGGACUGUCCUAGAGGUUAAAUUCAAUAUGCCCUCCUUCAUCUCCGUUCUUGAGCGCCCAUUUUCCGUCAUCACUUCAGUCGAGCCAAACUCCAUACAGUUCCAAGGUAAUGCCCAGUUGAACUUAUUCAAGAGAUUUGCUAGCACAAGCUCAUUGUUGGCUAUGGCAAAUAAGAUCCCUGGACAGCCCCUCCUGCCGGACCCGAAUGGAAUUAGUUCGAAAUCUUGGCCUUUAAAAUCUAUUGAAGAGUUCAAGAACCUUUCUGGAUGGAACUCCUCGGGCUCUUCCCAAGUUGCUGGAUCUCGAUGAAUUGCCCAAGCAUUGGUUAUGACUCGUGUCCCCGCAGCAAUUUCAUAGCCAUUGAUUUUGACAUCUUGAGUUGAUUCACGAGGCACCAACAAUGGAAUUGGUGGAUGUAGUCGAAGUGUCUCCUUGAUCACUGCCUUCAAGUACUUCAUAUUUUCCAGAUCCUCUUCUGAUACAUCUGCUUGUCCGCUGCAGUUGCAGAUGAUACAACAAGAGUUGGCUUGCUGCCAAGGUGAAGCAACAUAAGGUCACCAUGUUGCUGAGACAGGGAUUGAAGAGUUAGGUGAGGGUAUUUGCCGAGUUGGUGAAGGUUCCCCAAUAUUGGUAGCCUUCGAGGAGAUGGGGGAAAGUUUUUUCUUAUGGUUGCAUUGAGACGGAGCCAUUUAUAGAGGAAGAAUGUAAAAAUGAAGAAGAGAAGGAUGGACAAUGGGUGCAAAAAUAGCAAAUACAUUUGUUCCUUUAUCAUGUUAAUUCCCAUUGGAUAUGAAACAGCAUGAAACAGACUUAUCUUGGAAUUGCGGAUGGCCAGAAUUGAGACACUUGGUUAGUCACCAUCCUAAGUUUUACUGUCCCCAACUGAGUAGAUGGUUUUAACUGGACUUUGCAAUUGUUGGCUUCAAAUUACUCUACAAGGCCAGAGUAGGAGUUGUCUCUCGCUGGUGGUAUAUUUCUGAACAAUAUGAAGACGUUGGGAAGAGAAGAGUGUAUUUUCGAGGUUGGUAAGGAAUCAAAUAUCUGGUUUUUGCAGAACUUUUAGUACGCGAAGAAUGUGAAGCUUUUGCUCAAAUCUGGGUUCCUGCAAGUGUCUGUGCGUGGUAUGUGUAGUCUCUCUACACUUCUACAGGAUCCGCUGUACCAGAGAGCCACUACUGCUAGUACUGCAGGGUCUCUAUCGCUUUAAUUGUAUUUGAGACCGCCUCUUGAACCAGGUUGGUAGCAGUCAUGAAGUGCUCUAUCAACCACAUUUUCUCCCUCUUGUUACAUUCUUAGGGUUAUUUUUGAAUUGUAUAAUUUUUCAUUAUCUCUGAUGUACUGUGGUAGUGUGGUGCCUUACUAAGCUUAUUUACUGCUUGGUUUUGUAAUACAAGCAUUUGGCAUUGUUGAAUUGUUUAGCAUUCAAGUAUUCAACCAGUGAA